UGCCAACAGAAGAAAAAUGUCCAGAGUAAGAAAAGAACCUCUUAAAUCAAGGCAUUUGGCCAGAUGGUAUGCAAGACUUGGAAGUGACUCUAAUUCCCCCUAGGCAUUUCAAACAGUGCAUUGGUGAGUUGCAAGAAAGGUAGGAUUCUCUAUGUUAGGUUUGGUGGGCUUAUCUGAGAUAGAUGGAAAAUUAUACACGCUAAAGAAACAUAUACAGGAAGCCACAGUAUAAUUCCAACUUACAACUGGGUGCCUCCUUUCCUUUAAUUGAUAUUUGGCACCUAUGUUCAUGAUUGCUCAACC
rnacentral:lncRNA from 11 species